rnacentral:rRNA from 1 species
UACAGAGGGGGCAAGCGUUGUUCGGAAUUAUUGGGCGUAAAGGGCGCGUAGGCGGUUUGUUAAGUCGGCUGUGAAAGCCCGGGGCUCAACCCCGGAGGGUCAGCCGAUACUGGCAGACUAGAGUACGGAAGAGGUAGCUGGAAUUCCCGGUGUAGCGGUGAAAUGCGCAGAUAUCAGGAGGAACACCUAUGGCGAAGGCAGCUCGCUGGGACGUGACUGACGCUGAGACGCGAAAGCGUGGGGAGCAAACAGG